CUACACUGUUUUAACCAAGCGAUGCUUGCGAAGCAGUGUUGGAGACUUCUAUGUGAACCUGAGUCCCUUUGUGCUCAGGUGUUGCGAGUUAAGUAUUAUCCGGACAGGGAUCUAUUUAAUGUUGUUCUUAAAAAAGGAUCUUCAUUUACCUAGCGUAGUAUCAUGUGUGGAUUAAAGACCCUCAGGAGGGGUGCGAUUUCGAGACCAGGCAAUGGGGCGACUAUUAAAAUUUGGUCCGAUCUUUGGAUCCCUACGGCCUAUGAUCGCAAAGUAUUGACCCCUACGGGGCAUUGUUUACUGGAGACGGAGCAUGAUCUGGUUGAUCCUACUACCGGUGAGUGGGAUGUUCAGCUUAUACAUGAUAAUUUCUGGCCUAUUGAUGCUUCAAGAAUUUUACAAAUUCCGCUACCAUCUCAAGAUCAACCAGACUUCAUAGCGUGGCAACUUUGUAAGUCUGGGUGUUUUACUGUGAGAUCAGCAUAUCAUGCAGAAUGGAAAGCGGAGUAUUGA
rnacentral:rRNA from 1 species